rnacentral:rRNA from 1 species
GGGGGGGGGGGGGGGGGGGGGGGGGGGGGGGGGGGGGGGGGGGGGCGGAGGAAGGGGGGGCGGGUACGGGGGGCGGGGGGCGGGCGGGGGGGGGAUGCGUCGGGAGGGAGUUUUUCGUGGGGGAUAACGUGGGGAGACUGACGGUCCUACCGCCUACGACCUAAGGGUGACAGCAGGGGGUCUUCGUACCUUGCGCGAUUGCAUGAGCCGAUGUCGGAUUAGCUGGUUGGCGGGGUAAAGGCCCACCAAGGCGACGGUCCGUAGCUGGUCUGGGAGGUUGAUCAGCCACACUGGAACUGAGACACGGUCCAGACUCCUACGGGAGGCAGCAGUGGGGAAUAUUGGACAAUGGGCGCAAGCCUGAUCCAGCCAUACCGCGUGGGUGAAGAAGGCCUUCGGGUUGUAAAGCCCUUUUGUUGGGAAAGAAAAGCAGCAGGUUAAUACCCCGCUGUUCUGACGGUACCCAAAGAAUAAGCACCGGCUAACUUCGUG